GCAUGCCAGAGUCUACUGCUGCCGAAGAGCAGGGGGCCCACGAUGGAGGCUGCACGCGGGUUCCCUCCUCUCUUAUAACGCCCCUGGAAUAGGCCCCUAAGACCUGUCUGCAGAGAGGGCAGAUUACCUGAACAGUUCUUCCCGUUUCCGGUGAAUCCUGGCUUGCAGCAGCAGAUGUAUGAAUGAUUGGAACUGACGCAGUCGGCGUUUUCAUGGCAGGGAAACGGAUACGGAGGCAGACAAAGAUCUGGAGGAAUAAAAUAUCCUGCUUAAAGUUUGUGACGAAACACAGGAGUAAAGUGGCGGGUGUUGGCCAUAGCAACCAAUCAGACUUUAGCCAUCAUUUAUCUAGUACAUUUCCAUUUCUGAAGCUAUUGUAUAUCUACCGUAUAGUGGGAGAUUUUUCAAAGGUUGAUGAGAGAUAAAGGGGGAGAUUUAUCAAAGCUUGGAGGGAGAUAAAGGGGGAAAUUUAGCAAAUCUUGGAGAGAGAUAAAGUACCAACCAACCAGCUCCUGUCAUUUUUAAAACACUGGGCCUAAUUCAGACCUGUUUGGUGCUGUGCGUUUUCACACAGCAGCCGAUCAGGUCUGAACUGCGCAUGCCCUGUUCGCCGCAGUGCGCCUGCAAGACGACCGUCUUAUCCCUGCUAUCGCCUCUGCUUGAUUGAUAGGCAGAGGCGGUUGCUGGGCGGGAGGGGGUGGGCCGGCGGCGUCUGGCUGUCGUUUUAGGGGCGCGGUCUGCGCAACGCAGGCGAGCCCGAACCAUGCGACCAUCACAGCGAUAAGUAGCUCCCUGCCAGCACACAGGAGCUGUGCGAUGCUUCUGUACUUGUGUGUGUGUGUGGGGGGGGUGUGGGGGGGUCAGGCCUGACAUGCGGGGCGGACUAGCCCCAUGCUGGGUCCCCCCCCCGCAUGUCUGUGUGACUGGUCGUAGAUAUGCUAAAGUUAGCCCAUCUACGAUCAGGUCUGAAUUAGGCCCGUAACAUGGCAGUUAGGAGCUAAUUAGCUGGUACUUUAUCUCUCUCCACUUUAAGAAGCAGGUGAAACACUGGGGGAGAUGUAUCAAACCUUGUCAAGAAUGGAGAAGUGGACAAAUGGAGAAGUUGCCAAUUGAAACUAAUCAGCUUCCAUCUAUCAUUUUAUAGAAUGUACUUGAUAAAUUCUACCUUUAAGCUGAUUGGUUACUACUUACUAUGGAAAGUUUUCUUCUUGUCCACUGCUUUACAUUUCCACCUGUUAUUCUUUAUGGACUCAUGAUUGUUGAAUUAUAUACAAUAGUGUGUAUUGGGUUUCAGAGCGAUAAUUGUUCUUUAAUAUUGUCGCAUUCGCAGCAAUAAGAAAUAAUACAGUGCAUGAAUGUAUCACAUACCACAUGCAGGGGCAGGGGCUCUUCACUCUUCUGUUGGGAGGCCUGUGUGCCACUGCGUGUGGGUGGUCUACUGUUCAGGAGCCACUGCUCAGUGAUUUAUGCCACGUGUAGACCACAGGCUACAAUGGGCUAACACCAUCUUCAGAUCUGAUAGCUUUAUAGCCCCCAUAGAAACCUAUGAGGGCUGCCGCUGCUGUCGGAAAUGGAGGGAGCGUGGCAGAUAUUAAAGGAGAUAUCUGCUGCACUCCUUCCAUGGUACAUUUGGGGAAUACUUAAUAUUUGUGGGUAUCCUGCAAAUAUUAUUUGAUAAAUAGGCCCUAUAUGCUUUGUGUCUUUUAUUGGAUUCCAGAUAGAUAUCAAGUCAAGCAAAAUAUUAACUUUGGAGCUGUCAGAUGUAAAGUGAAAAAAGAGAAAAUGCAGGUGCACACUCUUAAAUACUAAGAACACUGGUAAUCAAGACAAUUAUAAUAAACUCUUCAAUGUAACAUGGAGUAAAAUUGAGAUUCUUAGCAUAAUGUUUAGCCAAAAAUAUGGGCUCACGUACCACGGCAAGGUGACCUCAUCAGGUGAGUCCCCAACAGUCUGUCCCCCCCAUUGUAAUGUGCAUGGAAAGGGCGGGUAAUGCAAUCAAAUCCAAAUGUUACUGAUAUUGUAGCCAUUGGGCUAUAAUAGCCAACACCAUCAUAUGACGUUCGUGAAAAGGGCAUAGAUUUUCAGAGUUUAAAACAUUCCAGAUAUCUGCUGCGGAUUCCCGAGUAUACAUAUGGGGUAAACUUAAAUGAUGCACCACUAUUAUCCUUUGAUACAGUUCAUCACUCAAAAUAAGGACCUAGAGCCUGGAUCCAUGUAAUUGAUAUGAACUGAUGGGUGGGAACAGCUGGGAAGACAGUUGGGGUAAGGGGACUUGGAUACAUCCCCUCUCCUUACAGGUACUAUUGCCAUAGUGUAAAGACACUUGAUGACGAUGAUGAAGAAAUAUUUAGCUGCUUCUAAAUGGCGAUGUGCAUGUUAAUCUCUCCAGUUGAUAGCACAUCAUUUAUUAGCAUCACAACUUUAUAAUGUCAAGUUGCAGCCGCCUAUUCGGUUUUCUUAUUUGCCAUAUCUGUUUGGACCGCUGCAGGAAAGAAGAUUGCCGUUGGAGUUAUAAAGGGGUCAAUGAGC